GCUUGUCUCAAAGAUUAAGCCAUGCAUGUCUAAGUAUAAGCGACUAUACUGUGAAACUGCGAAUGGCUCAUUAAAUCAGUUAUGGUUUAUUUGAUGGUACCUACUACUUGGAUAACCGUAGUAAUUCUAGAGCUAAUACAUGCAGGAAGACCCGACUCACGAAGGGUUGUAUUUAUUAGAUACAAAACCAAUGCGGAGCAAUCCGGUUUGUGGUGAUUCAUAAUAACUUUGCGAAUCGCAUGGCCUUGCGCCGGCGAUGAAUCAUUCAAAUUUCUGCCCUAUCAACUUUCGAUGGUAAGGUAUUGGCCUACCAUGGUUACAACGGGUAACGGGGAAUUAGGGUUCGGUUCCGGAGAGGGCGCCUGAGAAAUGGCGACCACAUCCAAGGAAGGCAGCAGG
rnacentral:rRNA from 1 species